CAGUACAGAGCAUGUCGUAAAAAGAGGGGGUCAAAAUCAAAAUGGAUGCUUUCUGAAGUAGUAUUUGUGUAGUAAUACUAUAGUAGGCAGGUCAAGCUGAAGCUCCAUCGCCUUGGCUGGGCAUCAAGCUGCAAGAGGCUUGUCCAGAUAGUCUCCUGGCUAGCUGCAAUUUGAGAAGCUGCUACUUUGAGGGAUCUGCCGUCUCUGGCAGAUCAAUUACCACCAAUUUAUCACUAGACACUGGGCUGUCAGGCGGCACGGGCUCGAGAAGAGUUUGAGUCUGUACAAGUGCACAACAAGGGAGGGUCAAAAUCAAAACUACUGCCUUCUUUUCGCGUAUAUCGGUCAAUAUUACUUCAUUAGUUAGCUACCUGACAAAUUGGGGGUUUGGUCGUCUGUAUAUAGUAGGCUGAUACAUAAUGAGUUUGCCCUUCUUUCCAGGUAAUUAGAUAUAUACUGACUACAAAUGGAACACAAAGCUACCGCCGCGCGAAGUGAUCUAGAGCAGAUAUUAGUCGAUGAAACCGCAGAACCCACGGCCCUGCCAUUAUCACUUUUGAAGGACAUCACAGGUGAUUUCUCUGACGAUCAGGAGAUUGGACGCGGUGGAUUUGCAGUGGUUUAUAAGGGAAUAUUUGGCGAUAAGGUGAUCGCCGUGAAGAAGCUGUCCAACGCUUAUAUGCAUGAAACUGAAUUUGAUCGAGAGAUUGAAUGCCUAAUGCGGGCAAAGCACAAAAAUGUAGUAAGAUUUCUGGGAUAUUGUGAUGACACACAAAGAAGUAGGGAAAGAUUCGAUGGAAAACAUGUCAUGGCAGAGAUCCACCAAAGAUUGCUUUGCUUCGAAUAUGUACGUAAAGAGGGUCUUGAUAAGUAUAUCAAUGGUGCAUAUCGUGAGUGGGGAACGUGCUAUAAAAUAAUCAAAGGGAUCUGUGAGGGUCUGCAGUACCUUCACGAUAAUCAUAUUAUUCACCUGGAUCUGAAACCCGCCAAUAUACUGCUCGACGAUAACAUGGAACCGAAAAUUACUGAUUUUGGCCUAUCAAGAUGCUUUGAUGAAAAUCAAAGCCAGGAUAUUACCAAAACUAUAUUAGGAACAAUAGGAUAUUUGGCACCAGAAAUUCGCGAAGGAGGUGUAAUCGCACGCAGCGCUGACUUGUAUAGUGUUGGUGUCAUUAUCCUGGAAAUACUGACCGGGCAGAAGGGGUAUCAAGAUAUUGGGGAUGUACUUGAAAGUUGGAGCGAUAGAUUGGAGAGAUCACAACGAGACACACUAUGCGAGCAAAUACGAGUAUGCUACGAGAUAGCUUUAGAGUGCAGGGAAUUCAAUCCAAAGAUGAGACCACCUAGUGCACGAGAUAUAAUUGACAGGCUACACACAAUGGAAAGUAUCCAGGGCUGGUUUGAGAAAAUAUUAUACCUUUCUACCGAGCCGGCUCAACUACCAGGCUCGCUGUACAGUCUGGUCGAGACGAAACCACCACUUCCCGUUAAAGUCGGCCAGUGCGGCGCGGCGACGAAGAUGGCGUCGAUCUACGACAUGGUGGAGCCGAUGUCGUAUCUGUGCGUGAGCGUGGUGCAGGCGCGGGACCUGCCCACCAUGGACAUCACCGGCGCGCUGGACCCGUACGUAGAGGUGAAGCUGGGAAAUUUCAAGAGCGUGACGCGGCACCUAGAGAAGAACGCCAACCCGGUGUGGCGACAAAUGUUCACCUUCUCUGCCGCCCACCUGCAGUCCAACCAGCUUGAGGUUAUCGUGAGGCACAAGGACGUUCUUCGUGCCGACUUUGUUGGCCGCGUCGUCUUCGACAUGUCCGACAUCCCCAGCUGCAUCCCACCUGACAGCCAGUUGGCCCCGCAAUGGUACCACCUUUCCAAUGCCCACGGCGAGAGGUUCCCCCAUGGCAAUAGCCUCGGCGAGAUUAUGCUCGCCGUUUGGCUUGGCACGCAGCCCGACGAGGCCUUCAUGGAGGCGUGGCACUCGGGUACGCACUCCCUCUCCCGAGAGAGGCUCAUGAACACGCGCUCCAAGGUGUACUACUCCCCCAAGCUCAUCUACCUCAAGGUGUUCAUCAUCACGGCGCAGGACCUCAUCGGCGCUGAGAAGGACCGACCGCUGGCGGCGGCCAUCGCCAAGAUCUAGAUUGGCAACCAGAUAAGGAGGACACGGCCGGGGCAACCGCAGGGGUCGGCGAACCCGGCAUGGAACGAGGAGUUCAUGUUCGUGGUCAGCGAGCCAUUUGAGGACCCCCUGGUUGUGACGGUGGAGGAGAAGGUUGGCGCCGGGAGGGACGAGCCCAUCGGCCGUGUUAUCAUCCCCGUGGCGUCCCCGUACGUGUCGCGCAACGACCUGGUCAAGUCGGUGCCGUCAAAAUGGUUCACCCUAUGGCGCGUCAUGACGGUGGAUGCGGCAGCGGCGGACAUCACGACGGGGAUCAGGGGCGGACCUAGAGAGAAAAUGAUCCGGUGUCCCAUCAUAUAUCGCAACGUGUACGCGCAGUUUGGAGCCAGCUUUGUUGGAUGUGACACAGCGGCGGAAGCUGACGGCGACGCUGCGAUUGCAACUUUGUUGCAUUCGGCGGCGGCGGCGGCUGCUCGACGGGCGACGCGGUGGCGGCUGCUCGACAAGCAAAGCCACGGCGGCAGCUCCGUUGGAUUCGAUGCGGCGGCGGUGGUGGCAGCAGCUUGGCACGGCAGACGAGCCGCGUCCCGUUCGGAAUACGUGCUCGACGUGGACUCGCACAUGUUCAACCUGCGCCGGAGCAAGGCCAACUUCGACCGGAUCACCUUGCUCUUCUCUGGCGGCGUCGCCGUCGCCAAAUGGUUCGACGGCAUCUGCAAGUGGAAGAACCCACCGACGACGAUUUUGGUGCACGCCGUGUUCCUGAAGCUGGUGCGCAACCCGGAGUUGAUCCUGCCCGUCGUGUUCUUGUGCAUGAUCAUUAUCGGGGCGUGGAACUACUUCAGGCGGCCACAGGGGCCUCCACACAUAGACAUGAUGCUGUCACGCGUGGAGCUCGCGCACCCGAACGAGCUGGACGAGGAGUUCGACGGACUGCAGCCACCGCACAUAGAUACAAUGUUGCGGUGGUACAAGGAUGUGUCAUACCCCGACUAGCUGGACGAGGAAUUCGACACGUUCCCGACGUCCAAGCCCUCGGACACCGUGAGACGGAGAUACGAGCGGCUGCGGAGCCUGGCUGGGAUGCUGCAGACGGUUGUCGGCAACCUGGCUGCGCAGGGGGAGCGCGCACAGUCACUGCUCCGCUGGCACGACCCCAGGUUGACGCCCGUCUUCAUUGCGCUCUCACUGGUGAUGCCCGUCGUACUGUACCUGACGCCGUUCCGGGUGGUUGCCAUGGUGAUGGUGCUAUACUUCCUCCGGCCCCCGUGGUUCCGAGGCCGGACCAACCUGCUCCUCAACUUGUACAGUCGUCUGCCUUCCAAGGACAACCUGAUGCUAUAAGGGUUUUGCUUUUUUCGUGCGGUGAACGUGAUGCCUUAUGGUUGAUCCGUUUGAUGCAUACAGCAUGCAGGAGUUGUUCUUUUUCUUAUCUUCGUUUUGGUUGACUAUAUAUGUGGACUUUUGUAUAUAUGACCUUUCCGGAUUCCAUA